UACGAAGGGGGCUAGCGUUGCUCGGAAUCACUGGGCGUAAAGGGUGCGUAGGCGGGUCUUUAAGUCAGGGGUGAAAUCCUGGAGCUCAACUCCAGAACUGCCUUUGAUACUGAGGAUCUUGAGUUCGGGAGAGGUGAGUGGAACUGCGAGUGUAGAGGUGAAAUUCGUAGAUAUUCGCAAGAACACCAGUGGCGAAGGCGGCUCACUGGCCCGAUACUGACGCUGAGGCACGGAAAAGCGUGGGGAGCAAACAGGGA
rnacentral:rRNA from 1 species